rnacentral:rRNA from 1 species
AUUGAACGCUGGCGGCAGGCCUAACACACGCAAGUCGAGCGGAUGACGGGAGCUUGCUCCUUGAUUCAGCGGCGGACGGGUGAGUAAUGCCUAGGAAUCUGCCUGGUAGUGGGGGACAACGCUUUGAAAGGAACGCUAAUACCGCAUACGGCCUACGGGAGAAAGCAGGGGACCUUCGGGCCUUGCGCUAUCAGAUGAGCCUAGGUCGGAUUAGCUCGUUGGUGGGGUAAUGGCUCACCAAGGCGACGAGCCGUAACUGGUCUGAGAGGAAGAUCAGUCACACUGGAAAUGAGACACGGUCCAGACUACUACGGGAGGCAGCAGUGGGGAAUAUUGGACAAUGGGCGAAAGCCUGAUCCAGCCAUGCCGCGUUUGUGAAGAAGUUCUUCGGAUUGUAAAGCACUUUAAGUUGGGAGGAAGGGCAGUAAGUUAAUACCUUGCUGUUUUGACGUUACCGACAGAAUAAGCACCGGCUAACUCUGUGCCAGCAGCCGCCGUAA